GGUGAUUUGCCCGAGUGGUUAAGGGGGAGGUCUUAAGUUAAGGCAAUUUUUAAUUGCAAUCCUCUGCAGCGAUGCGCGUGAGUUCGAACCUCACAGUCACCA